rnacentral:misc_RNA from 1 species
GUCGAUUAUGGAUCUGUCAAAAAUGUAUUUUCUCGUCUGACAACAAAAUGUAAUUCACCGAUUUAUACGAAUUUUACAUGCCCAUUUUAGAAUGAAAUUUGUAUGCUCAAUUUACAUUUUAUUUGUGAUUUUUGCCGAAAACAAGGAAAAAUUUUUCGUACAAUGUAUUGCCAAUAUAAAAGAGAACGAGCUCAUGUAUCUGUCGAAUUUGUUAAACCCUGUAGAAUGUUUGCAACUUGUACAAGCUAUAUACGAAGUAACUCCGAUGAAAACGGAACGUAGGGUGAAAAAGUAUGAAACUUUAAUGAAUAAAGAUAUCACUGGAAUGUCGACAUUGUCGAAAGAAUGUCUUCUUAAUCUUGAAGAAUGGAGUCAAGAUUUUCCAACAAAUGCGAAACCAAAUGGAAGGACAACGAUGGAAAUGAUAUUAAGAUGGUUAGGACGACCAGAUUUGGCAAAGUACGUGAGAGAAAAUCACAGUUCGAGUAUUGACUACUUCGAUACAGAGAAUUUAGCAGAUACGUUAGAAUGUCCAGGACACAGAAUGUCGAAAAGGCAUACCCCGGAGAAGGGUAAAAAUGCACAAGCUCAUAAAAAAAAGAAGAAGAAAAAGAAAAAGAAGAAUAAAAAACAGAAAAUUUCUAAAGUUUUAAAAAAUAAAAAAGUUGGAAAAGCAGUUGCAGCAAUGGGAGCACAUGCUAAAGUGCAUAUGUGGCAACCUAAAGAGGACAAAGAUACCUUCACCGAUUAUUUGGAAUGGAAGGACGAAGUUAUUUGUUCGUGUACGGAUAUGGAGGACUAUUGCACGGGACAAUGUUCAAUAUGUAAAGAAAAUGAUUAUAAACAUCACGUGAUAGAUCGUCGAAGUAGUAGCAGUGACGAUUCUGUCAAAGAACUGAAUUUUGUGGUGCGUAAACCGAAAAAGAAAGAAAAGAAAAGAAAACGAUUCACCUUUUUCCAAAACUCUUGUCAAAAUAAGAAGAAGGAAAAGGAACAGGAAUAUCGGGAUAGGAAGUGCGUAAAAAGGAGGAAUCUUGGAAAAUUUUGGAGAAUAUGAUCAUGAAGAAACAUGAACAACAAAAACUAUUACCAAUGCUUCCAAACGAUGUAUGUUGUAAAUGUUGUAAAUGUACUGUGUAUAUUAGAGAUAAAAUAUUACGUGAAAAGAAAGCGAGAGAAAAGAAAGCGAGGAAAAAGAAGGAAGAAAAGAGAAGGAAAAAGGAAAAAUUGCGAAAAGCGGAGCUACGUGCAAAUAAUGUAUGUUUCAGAGAGACGUGUAAAUAAACUAUUGCUUGAUUUACUACUUAA